rnacentral:lncRNA from 1 species
UCUCCCCAUGGCGGCCGGAGCCCUGGGCCUGGCCCUCGUCGCGGCGCUCGCGGUCGCGCUGGCGGGGGCCAACUCCGAGGGCGACGCGCUCUCGGCGCUGCGCCGCAGCCUGCGGGACCCCGGCGGCGUGCUGCAGAGCUGGGACCCCACCCUCGUCAACCCCUGCACCUGGUUCCACGUCACCUGCGACCGCGACAACCGCGUCACCCGCCUGUGCGUGAGCUCCCCUCUCUUGCUCGCCCUUUCGUUUCUGUUUGUGUAUGGGGAUGGGGAUUCUGAUAGCCAGGCCCGCCAGGCCCGCGUCUUUGGAGAGCAAGCGAUUUUGCAGCGGAUGUGUUGAUUCCUAGCUAUAAUUUGUUCCCGGCAGGACAGACUAGUGUUAGGCGCAUCUGCGUAAUUGAGGAUUUAGUCUGGUGGAUUAUUGUUGGCGACGAAGAGUGGGUAUGGUCCUGCGUGAAUCAAAACAAGAGUCUGAUUGGAAAUUAAUCUGUUUGAGCAAGUGUUCUCAAGUCUGUUUUGUUGCUUGGGGCAAUAAGGUUCAAGUUUCCCAAGACUGGAGAAGUUAAACCCUUUAGACUGAAAAAAGGGAAAUAAAGUAAAAAAGGGCGGAGAAAAUAAGUUACUGUGCUGGGAUAGUUGGUGUUGCUUGUGUUCUCCAUGAAUUUUCACUGCCUAGUGCUUGCCAGUGUUCCUUGGGAUUUCGGAUGAAACAUUGUAUGCCUGAAUUUCUGUCUAGGUGUGCAUCUACAUGUGCUCUAGUUAUUGCACAUCUAAGUGACUCAAUCAAACUAGAAAGAAAAGGAAAAAAUGUAAAAGAAAAUGCUCGCACGAAUCUUAGCGUAAAAUCAAUGACAUAGGACUUAGAUGUGCAAUACUUAGAGCACAUCUAGAUGUGCUUUAGCAAAGCUGCUUAUUUUUUUUACAUUUUUUUCUGCAUGCCAUAUCUUUCCAAACAAUAACUCUUAGUUUUUAAAAAUAGUCGCUGAUUCACUAUACUCCCUCCGAUUCAUAUUAAUUGUCGCUGAUUUAGUACCAUAUUAAUUAUUGUUGAUUUAGUACCAUAUUAGUUGUCGCUGAUUUAGUACAAAGUUGUACAGUACCAAAUCAGCGGCAAUUGAUAUGGAUCGGAGAGAGUAACAUAUUUCUUUGCUGUAUAUAUGAAAAGUGCGUACAUGCAAAUUAUUCUUCUUUUUUUGGAGAAAAGCUAUUGAUGAUUUCUUGUAUUUGCAUAUGAGAUCAAAAUUUUACAAGAAUAUCUUCAUCUGAUUGUUCUGUUCAAAUACCCCCUCUUACAGAGAUCUUGGUAAUUUGAACUUAUCUGGUCAUCUGGUGCCCGAGCUUGGUAAAUUGGAGCAUUUGCAAUACCUGUAAGUUCUUCUUUCACGUGAUUUGGUUCUUAUUGCUAGUUUCUCUCAGUAGUAAGCUCAAACCUACUGUACUAUUUUUGUUCACAACUGUUUACACAUAAGUUCCAUCAUCUGCAAAAUAUGUUAUAUCCAUUGAAGUAGAUGAUGUGUUCCAUGUAAGUUGCAAUUUGCAAAACAUCAACUUAGUGCUGAUUGAUUUGUUAUUUGGUCUGAGAUGUGGCUCUUGUAACUACCAAAUCAUGUGCGCUUCUCCAUAGAUGGGAUAUAUCCUACAAGAGACAGUUUUAACCUGCAUCAUGUGAUUUAGAAUGGCAUAUGUUCCAGCCUCCAGGUGUAAAUUUGUUUGAACUUCCAACUUAUAAUUUAGAUUGGUUCUUUUUUCAGUUUAAAUCCUAUGUAUUAAGCCGUUUCACAUAAUAUAGUAGCUUUACAGUACUACAACCUAUGCUAAUUAAGCUAAUGGAAUCCUGAGUUUGUAGCGGAACUUGAAAGCAAAAAAUGAAUAUUAGGGACAUGGAUUAACCUGCUAUGAUGAUAAAGAGAUCUUAAAGAUAUUCAGAUAUAAAAGGAGCUAACCAAGGCUUCCAUUAUAGUAUUAUACAACCAUCACAUGUCUUCUUAGGUUAAACAAGUAGAUAUGAUGCUAUUUUCUGUCCUUCAUCGAUGUCCUCCAGAACCUUUUCAGUACGUUGUGUAACUGAAUACCUAAUGCACAUUAUCCUAUUUUCAACUGCUGUGUGGGAUUCAUUUCCAUUGUUGUUGUUGGUGCAUUUUGUUUAUGUUCUAUUUCUUUAGAGUUUGUUUUGAUGAUGUUUAGGCCUGAUGUAUCAAAAUUCCUGUUUAGUGUUCAAUAUUACUGAUUAUUCAUCUCAAUGCAAAGAAGUUGUAUUGACUAUUAGUGUUGCAACAGGGAACUUUACAAAAAUAAUAUUGAAGGAACGAUCCCGUCGGAACUUGGUGAUUUGAAGAACCUAAUUAGCUUGGACUUGUACAAGAACAAUGUUUCAGGGACUAUACCUCCAACACUUGGGAAGUUAAAGUCCCUUGUAUUCUUGUAAGUUUCAUGCCUUGAAAUACUCUCUACAUAUGAAAUAGUUAUCACAUAUUAGCAACUGAAUGCGGAUUUAUUGCUGAUUAUGCUGAAGAUGAACAUUCUGUAUUGUUCUAAUGGUGCCGGGUUGUGCUAGGAUAUCCGUUUGUAGGUGCUAUGUACAGAUGUAAUACUAUAGUUCUGUAUUUUAUGCUUAACAUACGGUUGUGCUUUUAUAGGCGGCUCAACGGCAAUCGUUUGACUGGACCAAUUCCAAGGGAGCUGGCUGGAAUAUCUAGCCUCAAAGUUGUGUAAGUACAGUUUCACUUCCAAUGCCGAGUGCAGUUGGCUCCACGUGAAUUUGCCUUGUGAUAAUUUUGGCUUCAUUGUUUUACAGUGAUAUUUCUGGUAAUAAUCUGUGUGGAACAAUUCCCACGACUGGACCAUUUGAGCACAUUCCUCUCAGCAAGUAAGUCUGCUUGCCUUUUUUAAUGUGCUGCGACAUGGAGAUUUUCAAGAUAUGCCCAUAAUAGAAGUUUCAAACUAAUGAGAACUUCAAAGAAUAUAAGAGAUUCUGCCUUUAAUUUUAGGAUGUGUGUCUCUUAACCAAUACUUGUGAAAGCAAAUUAAAUCACUCCUGUGAUUAUUUGACCGGCCAAUAUGUGGAUCCUAAAAUCACAUGCAUUUUCUCGUCGGCUCCUCACACUUCUUUAGUUACACAUCUAUGUUUGGAUGCUUCUUUAUUUGCAAAAUUAAUUUGGCUGACCGUUUCCGUGAUAAGGUGGGUAUUUCUUUCUUUUUUUGUGGGUUGGGUAGUCACUGUUUCUGAUAUGGAAGGGUAUAAUCUUAUCAUUCUGGAAGGGCAUCAUCCAAACGCUUGAGUGCAGGAAUGAGAGGCUUUUUAUCACCAAUUUGUGCUGCUGUGGAUUCGAGCAUAGUUUAGUUGACCCAUUCCAAGCACUUCCUUUGUCGCCCUAGUGUUUUCUUUUUCAUCCCUUUCUGUCAGUUCUCUUUUCAGUAUUCGAUAUGUUUAGAGAACCAAAGGACAUGGAUAACUUUUUUAGCCUAGUGGGAACAUAAUGCCGUAGCCUCGUACUCUCAACCAUUAUGUUUUCCUUCUAUAAUGAUGCAUUUUUUAUUUGUAUUCAGCCUCCACUUUCCAGUUCAUGUUCUCACCACCAUUACAUUGUUCCGUUUGUCGAGCCAUUUGUUGACAAGUGUGGGCGUUCUGUUUUAUGUGCAGCUUCGAGAGGAACCCACGCUUGGAAGGCCCAGAGCUACAAGGCCUGGCUGUAUAUGAAACCAACUGCUAAACGGCUACGGGAAGGUGGAAAAUGCUAGGAAGUAACGGGCGUACAAGGUUUACCGGAGAUCGGGGUGAUAUAGAUUGUUAGGUCCGCAGUUUGCCACUUUGUAAUGUUCCUCCCUACAUAGCGCUGUCAUGCCAUGUGUCAUGUGUGCCUUGCUCUCAGCAGGGAAGUUGAGUUGUUGUAUGUUGUGUAGCAGAACGAUGCUUUCUGCCUGUGAAUGUAAAACAUAAGAUUGCCUAUGUGUCACGACUCAAAUGGUAUUGUCAUCUACUCAUCUCUAUUAUGGCAAUGGCACUUUUUGCUUGCUUGCUCGUGCAAUACAUCAAUUAGAUCUACGAGUAGCAUUCUAGCUGGUGGAUAACUGAUGUAGGGCUGAUAUGACAUUGGUGUGAGAUGUCCAAGCAAAGAGUAGCUGGCAGACUUCCAACCUCUUUUCUGACCUGAAGUAUAUAUCAAAUCAAAUUAAAUUCUUAUAGCGGUGCCAACAUAACAUGCCAACCAAAGGGAAAGUAAGUGAAGGUCUCUCGGGCUUUGCCCCCGCGUCGCUCCGGCCCCAGGGGCGGCACGGGCGGCGACCCUAGCCACCGAGGCGCUCGGCCCCUUGAUCCCCUCCGCCCCCUCGCCGUCGCCGGUGCCUCCCGCGGGCAAAGCUCGUGCGGAGUGGGCGGUGGCGGGGUCUCCUCUCGCGCUGGCGGGCGCUGCAGGAUGGGGAUCUCGUGGCGUUGGGCAGCGGCUGGCGUCGGCGAGCAGCCUUGUGCCCUGGCGUGGAGGCGGUGGUCCUGCUGCGGCUUGGCGACCUGCAGUGGUUCGGCGGCUCGGCGGUGGCAGCGGGGCUCGGGCGGCUCGAUGGGGCGGCGGGCCCCGAUCUGACGGAGUGGAUCCGGAUGGUGGAGGUGCUCUGGCGGCUCUUGGCAGCAUGGAUCCGGCGGUUGGGGCUGCGGCCGGAGGCUCCUGGCUCUUCGGCGGCGCCGCCCCUGCUGCUAUUGUGGCUGUGGCAGAUGUGCUUGGGUUUCGGCCUGGCAACUCUGCUCGGUGAGAUGGGGUGGGGUGGCGGGCCCCCUCCUUGCCUGGUGCUGCGGUGCUGGACGGCUUGCUAGCCCGGCGUGGCUGGCGGCAUGGUGGAGGCUGCCGGGGCGGCGGCCCCGGAUUUGGUGGAAGCGGCUUCGGCUGGGGGGUGGUGCGCGCGUCUGGGCGUGGUGGGUCGUGGGAUCCCACGACCAGUGCGAGGUUGGCCUUGGCAGGAUGGGGUUUGUUGGUUGCGUUGAUGCGGACAAGUGGUGGUUGAGCAUCUCCGAGAGAAAUCCUGUGUCCGGCCUUUGCCGGAUCGGGCGACGGCGACGUCCGUGGGCGUCGUGCUCUUUCUUGGAAGUGUUGCUAUUGUGUGGUGCUCCUCCUCCCUCCCCGCGGCCUUGACUUCGGAGAGAAACCUCAGGUCUUCAGGAUCGGGCGAUGAAGGCGCCUUCACGUCUUCUUCCUCCUUGGGGGCAUCGUCUCGGAGCCGGCCACAACCUGAAGACCAGUGGAUGGCGGCAUCUUCGCCGCGUGGUUUGCGGCAUCUUCGCCGCGUAGUUUGCUGAGGCGGCCAUUUCGGGGGCGUGGAUUUCUGUUUGGCAACGAUGAUGGCUUCGAGAGGAGCUUUGGUCGCGGCUCGGGCUUUGGUAGUCGGAUCUUCCCGGCGUGUCCGAGGUGCUCUUCCGCUGGUUGCUUGGUUGCUUUGAAGUCGGAGCUGCGGUGGAGUGUGUCCAGGCGGUGACGAUGACAGGCGCUCGGUGGUCGGUUUCGGAGGGCACGGACGGCGCAAGUUCUGCAUAUUUCCCUUGUGAUGAUCAUCGUCAAAGUCGGAGCUGUCGGUUGUUCACGCGUGUGGCCUUCUGUUGGCAUGUGCCAUCAUGGUUUUCUGUGCAGCUGUUUGUAGCUCUAUGAUCCCAUGUCGGUGGCCAGGUUGGCCGGUGGUGCCCAUGUCAUGUGGGUUGAGUUGUAUCGGUUUUAGUUCGGCUUUCCGUCAAUUAACCGGACAAUUCUCUUCUUCUUAAUCAAUGAAAAUGGCAAAUCUCUUGCCUUGUUUCAAAAAAACAUGCCAACCAAAACAAUUGAAGUAAACGGAUGGCUGUCGCUGGCAUUUUAUACUCCCUAUCCUUUUGGAGUUGACCUCUGCUGAUAGUAUCUUGAAAAAUAUUCAAGUUGGACAGUUAAAAAUCAUGUGUAAGUUUGUCUCGAAAGCAUCUUCAAUGUACGAGUGAAACUACUAUCUUUACAGGGAAAGAAGUACCAGUGACAGUGAUUUCCUUCAGAAAAAGUUGCUGGGGCAAUUAUUUCGAUAUGAGUUUUUUUUAGACACCAUUUCGAUAUGAGAUGAAACAGGCAGACACGAUCGGGCUAGGCUUUGGGCGAUUGGAGCGGCCUCGCUGAGAGUGAUCGACCGGUGCCACCGGGCAAGGGUCGGACCCCAACUCGCUCCCCGCAGCCGGGCCGGCCGUGAUGCUUCCGCUGCGGCGCUUGUCGUGGGCCUGCCGCCGGCGAGGUCUCGCCCAGUUCGCCGCCGGAACCCCCCGGGAGGCGGCGGACGCGGUCGUGGUGGGCGCCGGCGCGGUCGGCCUCGCGGUGGCGCGCGCGCUUGCCAUGGCCGGGCGCGAGGUGGUGGUGGUCGAGGCGGCCUCCAGCUUCGGCACCGGCACCAGCUCCCGCAACAGCGAGGUCAUCCACGCCGGCAUCUACUACCCUCCCCGCAGCCUCAAGGUGCGCUGCCCCUUCCCGGCCAAGCCGUAUAAUCUACGAGUUCGUGCACAAGGAUUCUACUAGCUUUCUGUGAUAUUUCAGUUCAGUUCAGUCAGUUCUCACCAGUGACCACAUUGGAGUAUUGGACAGUUGACAUUAGUAUUUUAGCAUCUCAGUCUCUUAGGUGUCUGUGUCCUUAGAGUUUGAGAUUGGUAUACAAAUACUAUUGCUGAAAAUAAAACACAUAUAAUUCAUCGGGCAAAUAGUAAUCUUCUUCCCUGCUUUGUGUUAUUUUCAGUUUUGCACAUUGCAGUAGCAAUAUUCCCGUUGAUACUUUUGAGGUAUAUAUAUACUGUCUCCAAUGCUGAGUGCACUUGUAGAAUCACAGUUCAUUACUUCAUUUUCCCCUUCUGUCCAUCUAUGGCAUUCUUAAUAGUAUAAUGAUCCCUUCUUCUGUCCUAUUCUAUUUGAUGAAUUACCAAAGUGCUUUCUUGCCAUGCUGAAAUUAAUUAUAGAUUUUUCUCCUACGGAAUGUUUUUGUAGGCUAAUCUUUGUGUAAGAGGAAGGGAAAUGCUCUACAAGUACUGCACAGAACGAGCAAUCCCCCAUAAACGGCUCGGCAAACUUAUCGUUGCUACUGGUGUUGCAGAGACUGCAAAGCUGGACAUGCUCCUCAAGAGCGCUAAAGACAAUGGGGUGAAUGAUCUUCAGAUGAUGGAAGGUUCUCAGGCCGUGGAGAUGGAACCUGAACUGCGUUGUUUGAAAGCUUUACUAUCACCUAGUACUGGGAUUGUUGACUCGCAUUCAUUCAUGCUCUCCCUUUUGGUACUUGGCUAAUCUGUUCUUGAUUCUUACCAUUUUUAUCUUUGCAUUGUUUAUUUUGCCUGCUAUAAUCCUCUAAAUGAUUCAAUUAUUUGAAAGGUCCCUUUUCACACUCUCCAAGAGUGAAAAAACUGUAUAGAUAACUGAAAUAGCGCUACGUGGAGGGCCUCUGCACUAUCGAAGCAAUUUUAACUAGUUAAGAUAUGUUGAUGUUCCUUUCUUUCGUUUUCCUUCUCAAAUGAGCUCGCAGCAAUGUUUGGAAGGUUGAGGCCUGAUAAUCCAAAAAUAUUCCCCAUGCGUCUUUCCUGUACACAGCUAUAUUAUGUUCAUUUUAUGUUAGUCCACUUCAUUGUGUUGCAUCAUGCAAAACUCUAAAUCUUCUCAUACUGUCAUGUGAUUUCCUUUUCUUGUGAUGCAGGCUGAUGCUGAAAACCUAGGCGCAACCAUAUCAUAUAACACAGCAGUCAUCAGUGGGCAUGUUGGAGAUGAAGGGAUCGAGCUUCAUAUUUCUGAAAGCAAAGAGCUGGAGAAUCAGUCUAUAGGCUCUCCUGUACCCCCACAGAUUGUUUUGCUUCCAAAACUUCUGAUAAAUGCAGCAGGUUUGAGUGCAAUUCCACUUGCCAAAAGACUUGAUGGCCUUGACCAAGCAUUUGUGCCCCCGGCUUACUAUGCCCGUGGAUGUUACUUCACUCUCUCACAAACCAAGAGUCCUUUCAGCCACUUAAUAUACCCUCUACCAGAGGAUGGUGGCAUAGGGGUCCAUGUCACACUAGACUUAAAUGGCCUUGUCAAAUUUGGACCAGAUGUUGAAUGGUUAGAUGGUAAAAUGGAUGACAUGUCAUGUUUCCUGAAUAGGUAAGCCAUUGCAAAUACUUGCUUGUUCAGUUUAAUUAUAUAUGAUCUUUUUUACUUGUUAUACACAUCGCUGAAAUUGAUGGAGUUACAAACGUUCUAGUGGUGUCCAAUAUUUAAAAAUAAAGUUACCACAGUUGCUGCCUAAUAUUAACUGGUUAAUAUGAAAAUAGUUUCCUCUUCUUGAAAAAGCUAAGAUGGUGUGUGACUUUUAGCAUCUGUGUACAUCAGGUUUGAUUACUCAGUGAACCCCACCAGAUGUUCUGGAUUUUACUCUGUGAUAAGGAAGUAUUUUCCAAAUCUCAAGGAUGGUUCUUUGGAGCCUGGUUAUUCUGGGAUCCGACCAAAGCUUUCUGGCCCGGGACAGCGCCCUUCAGAUUUUGUUAUUCAGGUUAUUAUCUGAUUUAACAUAGUUCUCAUAUAUCAGCUUGAAAGUUUACUUUUCACUGUCAAGUAUCAACAAACCCGUGAAGCUGAACACUCCUGACUACUGCAGGGGGAGGAAGUCCACGGUAUUCCUGGGCUGGUUAACUUGUUUGGUAUAGAAUCCCCUGGUUUGACAUCAAGCUUGGCAAUUGCAGAACACGUCGUUUCAAGGUAUAACAGCACUUGAUUCUCAAACAAUCACCAAUCGAUGAAUUGCAGCUGGAUGAACCGGACGGCUGGAGUCUAUCAUGUGAAUCACAUUGCUCACAAUGAUUUCCUUGUUUAUUUCCUUUUAUUUUGGGGAAGAACAAGAUGCUGCUUGUAAAGGUGCGACUCUCCAGCUUAGUUGAAUAAACAAAAUAUAUCGAUUGUGGGUUGGUGUAUUAUGUGGAUCCUCGCAUACAUCUUGUGGCAAGAGGAUCCUCUGCAUUACCAACUUGUGUCUGAGCAAAAGUAUAUGCAUUACAUCACCUGUUGACCAUUUGAUGAAAAUUGGAUGGCCAGGAUUUGAAUGGAAAACACAAUGGUGUUGUCCAUUUUCUUGCAGCAAAAAUACGAGGCAACUCUGACAAUUUGCCUCUGUUUUCGAAUCGUGGAAUGCAACUUAAACAGCUGCCGGGACUGAAAUUCUAUCACAAAUAUCUUGAUAACACAGGCAUGAUUUCAACUAUAUCCAUCAAAAUUGUUCCUACAUGGUGACUCUGAUCACUUAACAUUUCGAGAAAUUAACAUAUGGUAAUAGACUAAUAGCAGUACAUGGUCUCCGGCAUAGGAUCCACAAAUAUCACCAGGCAAAGGUUAUAAAGGUAUCUGAAAGCAAUGGAUGGGGUUGUGUAAGGGCAAGGGCAAUGUCACAGGGAAGUGAAACUCUUCAAGCACCAGCUUGUCUGUUCCCAAUUGUCCAGCUUUCGCCAUUCCUAUCAUCUGAAGUUUAGCGAACGACGGUGAGUAAAUUGACAGGUCAGCAAGAAAACAAAACAUUUUUUUAAACAAGGUAAUAAAAACUAAAAGCGUCUCACCGCUUCCUUUGCGCACGCCACUUGUAAACAGGCUGUGAUGUUGAAUUUAAAAUCUCUUCUUCACGGAGCUUCCUUUUGCGUCCAGGUUUCUGCCCCAGUAUUAAACAACUUCAGUAACUUCAAACUUGACAACAAAAACAGUACCACUGUACUAUCGACGUGACCAUUAAAAUUUCAUAAGCCAGUUCUUUUGAAGAUUUUGACUUCAGGCUGCUUGAGACAUCGGUUGAUGACAAAAUCUGAACUGGUUCAACUGAGUUGUAUUUUUUACAUUAUUUUCACAAAUAACAUAACAUUUUAUGGUUCAGUCACUGAAGGUAUUAUACCGACUUCACCAAAGCAAAAUAAAUAUUCUAAUUCAUCAGAGAAAACACACCUUCAGUUCUUUUUGCAAGGCCAUUAUUUUCACAAAAUAACAUAACAUUUUAUGGUUCAGUCACUGAAGGGAUUAUACCGACUUCACCAAAGCAAAAUAAAUAUUCUAAUUCAUCAGAGAAAACACACCUUCAGUUCUUUUUGCAAGGCCAUGUCCGCAUACAAUUUCUCAAGAUUCUUAACCCUUUCUUUCCUGCUUUCUAACUCCUUGUAGGAGGAAGCUGUUUUCCUAUAAAGAAUUUGACGGGAUAUAAGUUUAUCAGGCAGCACCUGAUGCACUAAUGUGCACAAGAAUCAAUAUCAUGCUUUGAGCUAGAGAAAAAAAAUCCCAUCCCACAUCCAAGCCAUUACCACCGAGUAAUUUGCUGAAUGCAUUAACAUUCACACCCACAUCAACCAUGAAUAGCAUGAACUAAAUCACCAAAACACCCAAACUCUCAGGUCUCAAUAAUAAAGAGCAGGUAUUUUGACGAGAGUAAAGACCAAAGGAACAGGUGUAAUAUUCAUUCACUAAUAAACCGAUAAAUGAAAGCUAUCCUUUCCAAGUAUAACAUUAAUCACAGUAGCCACAUAUAUAACACAAAAUCAUAUUCCCAAAAGAACAGCACACUACCUCUUUAUACGAGAAGGGAUGUUACCAAAUUGAGGUGCGCUGCUGCUUUCACCUAUCCUAGAUCGUAUUUCUUUGGCUUCUUCUCUGAAAUGAAACAGCUAAUCAUCUCAAUAUUUAAAAAAUCUUAGGUAGCUAGCCAGCGAUUCAUAAAUGAAUCUUAAAAAAUUAAAUUCAAAACUGAAAAAUGGUAAGAAGCAAGAAUGCAACAUUUAUACCUGUCUUCCGCAAAGUAAAUGUGCUUGUUUGAACGCUUGUCAUCCACUGCGUGAAGGGUUGAGCUCAAUCGUUCAACUUUCUACAGUCAAAGGUGUGACAUUAAAAUUGGAUCAGAAAUAUAGGAUUUAGCCACAAAAAACAAAGUACUCAUUUGUUUUGAAUAUUUCAAAGUCACCACAAACCUUUCUUUCACUUUGAAUGGCCUGAAAGAUGUAUCCCAUGUCUUUAUGCUUCAAGAGCAUACGUUCCUCUUCGGUGUACUUAUUAUUUGCUUCAGGCCUAAUAAAAGGUACAUGACAAUCCAAAUCAACACGUAGAAUAUACCAAGGUUCGAACUGCCAGAGUAAACUACUCUAUAACGUACUUGGGCCUAUGGAUUCCAUCCACGGUUUUACUGUUGAUCAUCUUGAAAUAGAACUCAUCUGGGUUCUUGAACGAUGCCUUCUCCUUCAGAUUCUGUAUUUACCAGAUAACAACAAGGACCAUAGGUUAGCUAUAAGAUAGCUAUGAUAAACAUCCCAGGAAUGUACCAAAUAAACAAAAGGAAAUGCCCCCCUGAGCUCUCCUAGGUCCUAAUAAGGGUGUGCUUGGGUUGCUUUGUAUACAAAGCGGGGGGAAACCCUUUUUCGGCAUAAGGGUGUGCUUGGGUUGACCUCAAUUCGAUUUUCGGCCAGUGUUGGCAAAACAAAGGAACUAGAGACAGUUGAAGGGGGCACAUCGCAUGACAUAGGUGAAGAGAAGGAAUGACACACAAGAGUCCCAACUCGGGAAGGAACAGAAGCAAUACCCUGAUGAAAUCCUCCUUGCGCUGGUAGGCCCUGGCGCGGAGGAUAUGGUCCUUGUGCUUCUCCAGAAGCCCGUACUUCUUCCGCGACUCCCUGCAACACCAAUGCGAAUUCCAGAAUCAGUCCGCAAAUCGGCGCAGACGCGAGAGGAAGGUCCAACACGGAGACGCCCCCAGAAGAGCCGCAGGGCUCCGAUGGCGGCGGCGGCCGCGCCGUGGGAGGCGAGCCCGUGAGGCUCGAGGGGAAGCGGGAAGCGUCGCGCAAGGGGAGGAGGGACUUACGGCUGGGCGCGCUCCUUGUGAGCCCGCCGCGGAAUCGAGUUCCGCAGGGACGACAUCUUCGUCCUCGCUGCGACUCUCCCGGAAGAACGAGCGAAUCGGCGGAGGAUCGGAUUUGGGAGGGGCUACGCGGCGAGGAGAGGGGAGGCCGGAAGAGAAGGAGGCGGCCGAGCUAGCUAGGGUUCAGGGUUUGGGUUUUCCUCGGGCAGUCGGGCGUGCGCGAUGCAAGAUGAAGAAGGGUCGAAGCCUGGUCCGCGAGUCCGGUGCAAGGCGGCCCGUUCGUAUUGGGCUGUAGUGAUACGUUUUUUCUUUUUUGCGGGGAGGAUGAACAAUUGUUUUUUUUUUUGAAACUGGCUGAACAAUUGCUGGUGUGAACAAUCGCAUUUGCAAAGCAUGGCAUCAGCAUUUAAAAAAAGAGUGUGUUUAGACUAUUUUUUUUCAUCUUUUUCUAAAAAAAGAAGAAGCAAUUUUUCAUCUCGCCCGGAAGAACUGAUCAGGUGUCAAACUGUAGAGACUGCCACAUUGUGGAAAUCCAAUUCGGCUCUUGGGAGCAUAUCCUGCCCACCAAAAAUGUUUUUUGCAAAUGUAAAAAAAAUAUAUGUGUUUUUCGUCACACCAAAAUGCUACCUGCAAAUUUUUGGGAGGAAAGCUUAAGUAUUUGAUAUGUGCCAAAAAAAAGUCGGAUGACAAAUGUUACCUCCAAAUUUACACUUACUUAUGUUUUUUUCACCGACGAAGCACUAUCACCCCGUUUCACAUGAAAAUUGUCAAGCACACUUCUUACACUAACGAGAACAUUUAAAAAUAGAAUUAUUAAAUUUUAUUUACUAUUUAUUUUGAAUUUACUAUUCAUUAGAGAGCAUAUGCACCCUAAAACCAAAACGGCCCUCCUGGCACAUUGCCUCUUAUAUGAUGUCCAUGGUUGAGUGGACACGAAUAAAAUCAGAGCUUGAGUAAGGAUAGCUAGCAGCAAACAAGUUCCACAAGAUAAACUUAUGCACCCAGCGAGCGACUUCGACUGUACCGUGUUAAAAAAAACAAACUUAUGCACCCAGCGAGCGACUUCGACUGUACCGUGUUAAAAAAAACAAACUUAUGCACCCAUAUGACAAAUGGCAUUGCACGUUAGCAGUACACGUUGCAUUCACAUUUUCGGCUACAACAUUACAAAGCAUGUUUCUCACGGAUAACUCUAUCUUCCCGCUGCUGCUGCAGCUGCAGCUGUUUGUGUUUCUGCUCAAACUGGAAUUUACAGUCAACUCUCAAAACUGUAACUUCGAAAAAACUACGGCGUUCAAUUUUAAUCAUCUCUAAUACAGCUGCCUAUCUCUAGUACGCAAGACAAGAGGUUACAAGAGCUGUGGGGGUCCAGAAGAGGCUGGACGGGCAGUGCUUGCUUUAAUCUGCGGGCCGGCUUUGGGCUCAGGCUUCGGAAGAGCGCGAUCUGACCCGCGCUAGGAUUUUGACGACCCUGCAUUUUUUCCUUCAAGCGCUGACAAUCUCGCCGGUCAUCAGUUCAACACAAACCGACACGGAGCAUAUCCUCCUCAUACAGCUUUCGGCUGGACCUGUUCGAAGUCAAACACCUCGAACAUCAAGCGCCGCACAUCAGGCUUGCCGUAGACGCAGUACGAGAGCCCGUGUAUCGCUUGCUGGACAGCAGUCGUGGAAGGAUUUCUCAGCCGGCGGUUGUGUUCGAAUCUGUCCUGUACAGUCUCCCCGUAUAUAAUGUAGUGGUGAAGGUGCUUGUCCCGCAGGUACCGCCCGCAAUACUUGUUCAUCAACAACCUCCUAUGCUUCUCUGACAACCACCUGCCAGGUGCGUCGAGAUGCUUCAUGAGCAGCCUCUCUGCCAAUACUAGAUCCUGAUCAUGAGGGAGUUCAGACCUUCAGUAUGACUAUUGACCAAAUGGAGAGCGGUCAGAUGCUGAAAACGUCACAAGAUGGGCAACAAACCUGGAUCUUCUGACCAACAUAUUCCAGACGCUCAAAACAAAAUCUUGGAUGCUCAAACUUGUAUUUUGAGGGAUGCAUGAAGCACAGCUGCAGUAAAAAACCAAUACAGAUCAUGUUGAUUUAUGUGCAGACAAUAAUGAAAUAUAUCAACAGUUUGAGUUGUUGGACAACUAGGAAGCAGAUUUGAUAAGACAAGCAAGUAAUGCACCACAAAACAUGUUUGCAUGCAGAGAAAUAAGUAAACAUUAGAAAGGAAGACCAUAAGGAGAGAAAAGACUAGCGGUGUCAAAAUACCUGGAGGCCAAGUCCAAGUUCUAUAUUCCUUGCUUCUGUAAUUUCUGGAAUUUUAUCAUUCGCUGGCAAGGGGUAUCCUAGGAUGUUCAUGAUUUUGGGUCUAUUAUCAAAAUCCCAAAUGUUUCCUCUGAAACGAUGCAUGCCUGGUGGCACACAUGCUCGGAAAAGCCUAGGAUGAGCAAAAAGGGCAUCCGCUGGUGGCUGCAGUACAUGCAACAGUUAACUAGAUAGAAAGAAGUGACGGUGAAGAUUUGGGACAAACGGCAGGAACGGUCAAUACCCGGUAGGCAGCAACAUCUUGCCAUGCGAGUUGUCUCUUCUCAAACUCCACUGAAACAUAAUCAACGUCUUCUAGUUGACGCCGCAGUUUUGGCUGACAGCUCUCUUCUUCAGGGUCCAUCCCGAACGCCUCAAAGAGAACACGAUAGACUUCAGGCAUUCCAAAGCACAGAUAUAUAGCUCCAAAUAAUGCCCAGAACACAGCCCUGAAGUACAAACAUAAAGUUUAAUGAAGACUACCCCAUAUAUGUACUCCAGAUUGCCAGUUAACAGUACAAAUAGCUCUGACAAACCAAACAAUCAAGAGAAAAUUCUUCAAAUGUGUUAGUAUUAUCAUGAAUUUAUGAAGUUAGGUUAUGUGCUCCAUAUUCUUAUGCAAAGAAAAUUUCCACGGCAAGUUAGCUAGAACAUAAAAGGGAGACACAGCAGUACACAAUAAAGGAGAUUGAAGAAUGCAAUUCAGUACAAGUGUACAACAUCUAACAGGAUUAUGUAGGGGGAACUUGACUGUUAACAAGGCUGUAGAACAUCUAACAACGGAGACAACUUCACUGAGAAAGCCACAGAACAUACAUAUAACAUUGAACUAAAGAGUGGCCAAAAAAUAAGCUAACAAUACUCGCUUUCACCAUUAAUGUUAUGCCAAGACAUGCAAGUUUACUGAAUAUGUUGAAUAUGUCAAGAAGAUAACAACUAGUUAAAUGUACCCCUACCAAAUUUCUCCUAGCACCGCUCCACCAAAUCACCCAUACAUUUCCCAAAAAAAUAACUACCACAGCAGAGUAAGUAUGGAAUGCAGAUCAAGCUCAUGCGAACAACAUUGAUAUCUAGUAACCCACAAGUUGAUAUUUAGGUGUUAAACUCAUAGGCAGUUAUCUUCCUUAUCGAAUUUAUAAGGUGCUAACUAGAUGUAUACUAUGCUAAUAGCAAAUGUGCCAUGGACGAUUUCACUCUUACACUGAUGAACAGAAUGUUGACUGAUUGCUCGCAUUGUCCUAAUGCAUGAUCCCAGACCAGAAUUAUACCUCUACUACAAUUCAAAUCGCACAUUCCCAGUCAGUAAUUGAAGACUUACUUCGUGGGCGGUUCCCUGUCCUUCCGUAUCAUCUUAUCCAAAUCGUCGUAAGGAAACACCAAAUUAUGCAGGCUGGCCGCCUUGAUCCAUUUGGGCAGCAUCUUCUUCCCGAUGAGCGCGAAGACCCGCUCCCGCAUCGGGCCAGGGGACUCCCUGGGGUACCUCUGCAGGAAGAACUCGCAGAAGGCGAGCUCCAGCACGAACUGGCCCAGGAACCACAGCCUGGAGUGGCCGUUCCGCACGUGGCGCGUGCGCGUGCGCUCGGAGGAGGGGUCCAGGUGCUGGAAGGCGAGGUAGAGGAGGACGUCGAAGUGGCGCGCGGGGCAGUCGUCGCCCUCGCCGAGCGUCUCGGAGGGGGCGAGCGGGUAGCCGAGCGCCUGCUUGGCCUCGAGGAGGUACUCGUCCAUCCAGGUGCGGUCGGCGGCGGAGAGCGGCGAGGAGGGGAGGCAGGAGGAGAGCAGCGGCAGCGACUUGAGCGACAGCUGCGGGCUGUUGAGGAACCGCUGGGUGAGGCGCUCGUCGUCGAGCGGCGGCUUGAGGAUGAACCGCCGCGGCGGGUGCUUCUUCUUGGGCGAGACGGCCUUCUUCCGCUGCGCGAGCUCCCGGAGGAGCCGGCUCGGGCUGUUCGCCGGCUCCGAGGGGGAGGCCUGCGGGGGCGGAGGGGUCUGGUCGGCCGCCACGGCGAGCACGCGGGCCCGGCGCCGCGUGGCGGGGAGGUGGAGGGGCGAGAAGGUGAGCGCCUGGAACGCCAUGGCGGCCGGUGCCAUGGUGGUGGCCGCUGGGUUUUGCGGUUUGGGGGCUGGAGGAAGGGGGAGGAAGGAGGAAGAGGAUAAGCGUAGAACGAUAGGAAGGGGACCCAUCGAGAGCCGUCCGUUCUGCGUUCGAUGGCUCAGAUCUUCCGGAUCCGGGCCGAAUGGGAGGAAAUAUCUUCAGCUAUCUAUCCGCCUUCGAAAUGACAUGGCAACCCACGUGAGGCAGUGACAGUUCGCCGGCCCCGUCUCGACAGAAAAGGUAAAGUCUCCGCCGCCGAUCCCUCGCCGCCGGUAGGCGGGCAGUCGGGGCGCCACCAGCUUACCACCGGCCUGCGCGCCGCCCGUCGAUGGCGAACCCGAGGAGGGCCAUCGCGCUGCAAAUCAACACCCAGACCCCGCCAUUCCCCGCCGCCGCCGCGCCCUCGUCCUCCUCGCUGCCCUCGUCGCUCCUCCACUUCCUGAAGCGGCCGGCGUCCUUCCCCUUCCUGCUCUCCCUCUUCGUCCUCCUCACCUGGAUCUCCCUCCACUUCCACCAACCCACCCCCUCCGCCUCCCUUCAGCGCCCCACCGUCGUCCACGACCCUCAGGCCAACCUCGUCCGCUACCCCGCCGCCCUCCAUCCCACCCCCAUCGCCGCCGACGAGCGCGGAUGGCUACUCGACCCUGUCGCCGCAGCCCGCGAGGCCGGCCUCCCAAGUGAGCUCCCCUCUUGCCUCGCGAAUUCUACGUUUCCAGUUAUGCUCCCUUGUUGUUAGCUCGCUGCAAAAAUUGUUUCAAUAGAAUAGUUGGAAUGUGGCAGGGAUGAUGUAAAAUAUAUUACACUGUGUCAUCAAUUGCAGAAGUAAGGUCUGCCUAGUUCAUACUUGUAGUAGAUACUCCAGCUCUUGCUCAGUUUGAAGUUUAUAGUGAAAAGAAGAACAGAGUGAUGUUCUGAACUGUGUCACUGGUGGAAGUGCAGCACAAACAUGCUAUCCUUUUAGGAUGUACUCCCUCCGUUCCAAAUUACUCGUCGCAGAAAUGGAUGUAUCUAGAACUAAAAUACAUCUAGAUACAUCCAUACCUGCGACGAGUAAUUCGGAAUGGAGGGAGUAACACCUUUCAGAGUGGCACUUGGUUUGCACCUUUCAAAUUAAUCUUGCUACCUUAGUGCCAGUCUUACUUGGAGAUUGUUAAGCUGGGUGUGCUAUAUCAACCAGUAUAGGCACCUUGGCUGAGCUGGGCAUAUGCCGCUUUCGUCUGUUGUUAGCUCGCUGCAAUAAGUUGUUUUAAUAAAAGAGUUGGAAUGUGGCAGGGAUGAUGUAGAAUAAAUAACACUGUCAUCAAUUGCAGAAACCAGGCCUGCCUAGUUCAUAUUUGUAGUAGAUACUCCAACUCUUGCUCAGUUUGAAGUUUAUAGUGAGAAAAGAACAAAGUGAUGUUCUGAACAUGACACUGGUGGAAGUGCGGCACGAACAUGCUGUCACGCGUGGCUAACACUUUUUGGAGCGGCACUUGGUUUCCACCUUUCAAAAUAAUCUUGUUACCUCAGUGGCAAUCUUAUUUGGAGAAUGUUAAGUGGGUUUGCUUUGUCAAUUAGGCACCUAGGUUAAACUGGGCAUGUACCACGUCCGUUGGCAGCAUUGUUUGUGUGAGUUUGAUACAAGGUGCCUCUGUGUUCACCCCUUGGCAUAUGGCCCAACAAACUGUGAUCACUGAGAUGUUUUGGUGGUUGGAUCGUUCCACUUGCUUUCCAUCUACAUAUAUUAGACAGAUACUCCCUCUGUUCCAAAAUAGAUGACUCAACUUUAUACUAACUUUAGUACAAAAUUAGUACAAAGUUGGGUCAUCUAUUUUGGAACGGAGGGAGUAGAUGGGUAGCUUUCUUUCACAAGCAACCAAUGAUCAAGACUUGUGUUCAGAAUUGUCAGUUCCAUCUAUCUAUUUAUUUAUUUUCCUCAAAUGUCCCUAUUUAUCAUACUGAUAUGUAUCCCUACGGCCGAAAGUAGAAAAGGUAGCAAAAGAGAACAUUUGCAAUAUGGGGGUAGCAACUGAUUGAUUUUUAGCUAACCAAGUUGGAGAAUAUUCUGCUACACAAAUAUCUCCCUUCUUUUGUACUUCAUUUUACCUUUGUCGGUUCUAUCAAUAGAUGCCCAUCUUACUGGGAAAAAAGAGGACUUUCCAUGCAUCACUGCUGUUUUCCCACUACUUACUACUCCCUCCGUUCCUAAAUAUAAGUCUUUGGAGAGAUUCCACUAUGAACCACAUACGGAUGUAUGUAGAUGCACUUUAGAGUGUGGAUUCACUCAUUUUGCUCCGUAUGUAGUCCAUAGUGAAAUCUCUACAAAGACUUGUAUUUAGGAAUGGAGGGAGUAGUUACUACUGUGUUGAACUUGAGACUCUUUGUCGAGUGUAUGGCUGGUAGCCAGAAUGAAUUUGCUCUAUGGUCUAGUUUGCCAGUAUGUUGAACUUGAGGCUGUUCAUCUCUGUGUUUUGUUGUAACUUUGCUUUGUUCAACUUGAUUCUAAAUUUGUGUCAUCAUGCUCAAAAUAAAGUACUAUUAUUCAUAUGUUGUGUCCAUCAGUGUCUCUACUCUCUAUUGAUUGUGUUCUAAAGAUUUGUGUAGAUAUUGAAAGUCUCUACUGAUCUUCUGCAUACGAGGAGAAAAUUAGGCAUGGAUUACUAGCCUACAACUUAUGGGACCGUGUCACUUUGUAGCUGCAGAACUCCAAGUUUUUUUUCUCUUGGGGUUCACUCUGGAACAAUAUUUACAUGACAAGAAGUCAUAAAUACAGAAACAUCGAUUCCACGCUCUUUUGUAUGGAUUUGUGGAAUGCUAUAUUUACUUGGAUGUGAUUGCCUGGAAUUUUGCUCUACAGCUUAGGCAGGACUGAUGUGAAUAGAGCACAGGCUGUUUUUCAGUAUCUGACUGGACAUUAAUUAUAGUGUUCAAUUUGUGGCAGAUGGGGCGUUGGUCUGUCUUUCACUACACGUGGGACUGAUCCAGCCAGGUGGUUUGCGUGGCAACCAUCGUCACCAUACAUGCAAUGAAACAUUCGUCAUCUGGGGCGCAAAAACAAAAUUCAGGGUAAUGAUAUUCUCUUCUUCAUUCACUCACUCAGCCCCUGAUAAUCACAUCCUCUAGUGUUGAUUGGUUGUUUUUCCGUGAUAAACAGUUAGAAAAUCCUGAUGUAAAAGAUAAAGGAUACGGAGAAGCCAUAAUUGCUGCUGACGAGGUAGCCAUUGUCGCAAGCGCAAGAUCAACCGCACACGCAUUGAUCAAUAUGGAUGUGCGACCGACCUUCUUCUUGGGAUGUCAAGAUACACCAAUAAAUCCCAACAGUUCAAAUACUGACUACAAGGUCUGGAAAGAUCUCUGACAUCCACAUUGCUCCUAUGGUCUGACGGUGAGCAAUAUUUCAAAGACUAAUACAAUAUGAUCCGGAGAAACUGAAAGUAGCAUCGAGCCUUCAGAAUUCACCUCGGUGAAGAUUUUAAGGUAGAUGCUUGUGUAUAGUUGAGGUGACACUUCCAGUUGGCUCUCCUAGUUCUUUCGUCUGUUUUUUUUUUCUUUUUUGUUGACAAGGGGUUAUUCUUGUUACUAUUUGUUUGUUUUCUUUCUCUUGCAUAUAGUCACUGGUCAUGUACUCCUUUGUUAAAGGAAACAGACCUACCUUAUUUGGCUUAAUAUUCUCAGAAAAAUUUCUUUGUCUGUAUGUGCAGCAUAUGUCUGCCGAGCUGUUAACUGACAGAUCAUAGAUGCCUCUUUAUAUUGACAAAUUGUUGAGCUAUGCGCUGCCGGGUACUAAUUUGCAGAUGCCGUUUCAUGCCUCCUUGUAUUGCCGAAUUGCAAAAUCAGAAAUGACCUCUUUGUGCAGACGAAUUGCAAGUGAAACAGGGCCACGUAUCCAGGACACGUUGAUGUGCUCUCGAGCUUGUUCUGUGACCUGUGCCUGGCUUUGGCUUACACCUCUCUGCUUUUCUCCAUUCGAUUGUUAGCCAUCAACAUCAUCAAUCGAGUCGGAUUCGUUUUCCCCCACACGGUUCUUACGUGCCACAGAUUUGCAAACGGCAUGUGGCGAUAUUCAUCGACAAUACUUGCAGCGAGAUGAGACGAGAUAUUUUAGGUAGGAUAUGCAGUUUUAUUUUCAGGUUAUAGGAUAUACAACUUCAUCCAAAAAGAUACCAACAUCGCCGAGCUCGACAAGUGUCGCCGGGAGAAUGCAUGCAUCAAAUCCCUCAUCCAAAAAUAAAAUAACAUAUGGUCCUCAGGUAGCUCCAGUACUAUUUUUCACUUAGAGUUUAGAGAAAUUUUGUAACAGGAUGAUCAUUGGAAUUUAUACGUGUGGUGCUCCUCGAUCCUUUUCUUUUUGAAGUUGGUUUUAUGUGCCCGACGCGAACUGCUAGAAAAUCAAUUGUGUGAAGAAUGCAACACAAAUUCUAUGCCUGCAGAGAAAUACAAAUACGAUGGUGGUCCAGUACGCUUGUAGUCUAGUGGAUGAACAGACAAGCAAGCCAAUGAAAUGGAGAGAAAAAGAUCAAAUACAGAGGAAGAUAUCUCGCACACCGGAAUCCUCACAUGUGAUAGGCCCGCUUCACAUUCACACCAUCCACACGAGCCCAUAAAGAAAAUAUUCUCAGAAAAUAAUAAAACGCUAAAAUUUAAAAUAACAAAAGAAAAAAAAACACUGAGAAAAAGAGAGAAGGGGAAGGGGAACCGGAUGCCCAGAAACUGGAACCAGGAAAUCCCUAGAUCCCCACGCGAUCCUCUUCCUCUAUAAAGCCUGCCCCCCGCGACACAGAUGCACCCAGUCGCGCACUGAGACCCCCCCACGUCAUCAUCGCCCCAUCAACGCGCAGCUCGCGUAACAUUUGCAGGUCCUCGUCGCCCCUUCGAGGUUUCGGUUUGCCAUGGCGGACCAGCUGAGCGAGGAGCAGAUUGGCGAGUUCAAGGAGGCCUUCAGCCUCUUCGACAAGGACGGCGAUGGUACCGAUUUCCGCCCCUUUCGCCCUCCCCUCCCCUCCCCUCCCCUUCCCUUCCCUCAUCCGCAUUAGGUGAUCCCGCGCGAACGCCGUCCCGAUCGAUCCGGCCCGGAAUCGCGGAUCCUGCCCCGCCAGGCGUGGGUUGAUCUGCGUCAUGCGAUGCGCGCCUAGAUCUGAUGGCGUGCCGGGGCGGUGGCGAUUUUGUUUUUGCGCGGCGAUUUGGUCGUUUUGGCGUGACGGUAACCGAAACGCCUGCGUGGUGGCGAAUUAAUCUGUUCCGUGGUUUGGGCCUAUCCUCGUUAGAGGCAUGCAAUUAGUCUGCAGGGAGGGGGGUUACGCAUUGUGGUGUGCGUUGUGUGCUUGUAGGCUUGUAGUGAUUUGACCCGGCGUGGCGUUUGGGUGGCCUGUGAAAUGAUCUCAGGAACAAGGAUGGGGGUAAAUAUGCGCACCAAUUUGCUGUUUGGAUGUCUGUCAUCAUAUCAUAAUAUGUGAGCACGUAGUUGGGAACCGAAGUGCAGAAUUUGACAAUAAAUAAGCUUUGGGGUCAAUGUUAUUUGGGGGAAGGGCAUCACCACAUCCUCCUGGUUGUUCAAUCAGAGCACCAGACCUGGUAAUUUCAUCAUUUAUUAUCUUCACUGAACCAUACUAAUCCUGAAAGAACAGUAUUCCAAGGCAGUGGCCUAGUGGUUGAAGACGGUAUUGUCACUUGGCUUGCUUACCAUGCUUCCAUUUCAUUCGCAUCAGAUUCCUUACAUGUCUCUGCUUCUCGUACGUCUGAAACCAAGGAAUAUCUGCUCUAAGCCCUGGCCAUUCAUUUUAGCAUUGACAACUUGGGUGUGAUGUGGGCUGUUAUGUUAGUUAUUUUCUAUGGAAUCUUAUCGUGUCAUAGUAAACAUAUGGAAAAGACUUGAGAAUAAAGUGGCCAUGGAGGAGUAUUGUAAAAAAAAAGUGGUCAUGGAGGAGAAUCUAGGUCUGCUCAGAGUUAGCGGUCCACAUUGGCUUAGAAUAUAAUAGAACACUUGAAGAAUGUUGGACCAUUCAAUAAUUCAAUUGAAGCGCUUAACGUGUCGUUUAAUCAAUGCCCCAAUCCUGGAUAUAUUGUUUCAAACUGUCAAUUGUUUGACCAGAAUUUUUUAGGUAGUUUGGAUGUAAAAUGUGAUUAAUUAGAUAUGUGGGUAUGUUGAACUGGUGUUUCUGCUGCCUAUAGUGGAGGAUGUAGGAUUUUUAAUAGUGCAAGGGCAUUAUAUAUGUGUACUUGAAUUCAAUUAUAUGUUGGGCGAUGCCCUGUUUUAACUGUUAGAUAGCUUCUUUUUUGCUAUUUGACUUGAAAAUAAACUGAAUGAGUUUUCAUACUGAUGACUUAACAUGGGUUUUAAUAGAAUUUGAUCAUCACCAUAAAUAAGUCCUGUCAUUCUGUUGAUUGACAUACUGUACUGUGAAAGAUGCAAGGGCAUAGAGACAACACAAUCAACACCUGCAUCCUAAUUUAUCUGCUGCCACCUGCCAUAUAUUCCAUUUGUGUUUGGAAGGUGUAGACCCAAAAUCCGCUGAAUGCUUUAUUAAUAUUAUUGAACCAAAGUACUGCCUUCGUUCCUAAAUAUAAGUCUUUUUAGAGAUUCCACUACAAACUACAUACGGAUGUACAUAGACAUAUUUUAGAGUGUAAAUUCACUCAUUUUGCUCCGUAUGUAGUCCACAGUGGAAUCUCUCAAAAGACUUAUAUUUAGGAACAGAGGGAGUAUUGAUAAUUUUAUGCUAUUUAUUAUGUAAGGUAAUGUUUAUGUUCUCUUUAUUUCUGCAUGAGUUACUGUGCUUUAUAACUGACUGUUCUGUCUAAUCGGAGAUUUUUUUUUUAUAACCAGAGUAUGUUUGAUCACUUAACCCAGCUUGGGUGUUCUGUGACCAUCGAAAGUGCACUUUUUGGUGUUAGUUGGUUUUAUGUUCCCUGAAUAAAAAUGGUUAUCCUGAUGAGAUGGAUUCUUCAACUUGUCUAGUCCAAAUCUUCACACCUUCUGCUAUACAUUUGUGGUCGCUACAUUUUUAAGUUUUACUAUACUUGACAGCACAUUGCACAUAUUUUUCUCUUAUAUCUGUCUUACCAUGAGGUGGUGUAAUUUCUCAGGCAGCAUCACCACCAAGGAGCUUGGAACCGUGAUGCGCUCCCUCGGCCAGAACCCUACCGAGGCAGAGCUGCAGGACAUGAUCAACGAGGUGGAUGCGGACGGCAACGGCACCAUCGACUUCCCAGAGUUCCUGAACCUGAUGGCCCGCAAGAUGAAGGACACGGACUCCGAGGAGGAGCUCAAGGAGGCGUUCCGCGUGUUUGACAAGGACCAGAACGGUUUCAUCUCCGCGGCGGAGCUCCGCCAGGUGAUGACCAACCUCGGGGAGAAGCUGUCUGAGGAGGAGGUGGAGGAGAUGGUCCGCGAGGCCGAUGUGGACGGCGAUGGCCAGAUCAACUACGACGAGUUCGUCAAGGUCAUGAUGGCCAAGUGAGGAACAACCCCCCUCUGAAAUAACCCUUUUCUAUUUUCGCCGAAUAACGAACCACCUGGCUUCGUAACAACAAUUUUUACCCUAUUAUUACGUGCACGCUGCUGGUACUGACACUUGUUGGCUAGGUGUAGUCACUGAGGGGAGAAGGGCCAGAUACUAUUUUUUUUGUUCUCUUGGCCACGGACUUCUCCUGUACUACUUUGCUGGAUUUGGUGUUUUUUCUUGGUUGGGUUGCUUCUUGGUUCAUGCUUGUCGUUCGGUUUGUUGAAAGUUAUAUACACUAAUUUUGCGCCACACGUGCGUUCCAUCUCGCUAUCUGACUCUCGUUUUCGUUGGAUAUUAUAUCACGCACGUGAAGUCGGAUUUGGGAUUUUCGUCCUGCGUUAUGUAGGUGCGGCCUAGGCUCGUUCGUACCGUAACAAUCACCUGUGGAGCCUCUCUCCGUGCUACGUCGUGGAGACUCUUCCUGGAGUCGUGCGUGCCGCAGAAUUGCAGCGUAGGCCGUUGUCACGCACGAAUGUGAUGCCUGGUCGGUUGUCUCCGCCAGGCAGCUCGAUUUGACGUCAGGUAGACGUGCCAAAUGCGGCGGUGGCGGCUUCUCGAGACGGUCCCUAUGCUAGCUAGAAGAUGAAAAGAUGGAUGAACGUGACGCCAUUGUCGUGGUUGAUGGAUGCAGUCGUGUAGAGAUAUAUCAUACGCCGACAUGGCCAGUGGACAUGGUUUCCUGGUGGAAUAACCGGUCGGGAGGUGGCCAUUGCUCGAGAAUAUAUGCCAUCCAAACCCUUUUUGGCCGGCGGCUCGAAGAUGCUGAACGCAGCUUUUAUUCGCUGUUUAUGUUGUGUUCGUAUAAAGUGAAAGGUCGUGGAGGCGAAAAAGCUCAAGAGAGGGAUUUAUUCGUACUGAUCUUAUUCGUUUUCAUCGGUUUGCGUUUUACUUCCGGGCUUUUUCAGCCCCCCUCAAUGAAUGUACACGAGUUCUUGUGCAGAUUCUUUGAAAACAAAAAAAGGAAAGGGACGAAGGGGGGAGGCGCGUUUCGGCUCCCGGGAGCAUUCACUCCCGCAUGAAAUAGUACCUCAAAAAAAGUGGUAAAAUGUUUUCAAAAAAUUCUGAUUUUCUGGAUGUUCGUGUUAGUGUCACAAGCAUGCUUCAAUUUUCAUGCGGAACGGAGUAGUGUUUCGUCGGUGAAAAAAAUAAAUUUAAGAUGACAUUUUUGUGUAACAUUUGGUAUUCAAUUUCUUUUAUUUUGCACAGGCUAAAAUCUUUAACCUUUUUGCCUGAAACUUUACAGGUAGCAUUUUGAUGUGACUAUGAAUGCAUAAAAAAACUGUUGAGAUUUUUCUAACAUUUCAAAAAUCAUUUUUCGCACGGGAGCGAAAUUGGAUUUUCGCGAAGGCUUAUGCAUGUGUAAACCCUGUUUGUGCAGGAGAAGGGAGAAGAGGAUAGAGGAGAGGAGAGCGCCGUCGGCCAAGAAGAGCGUGGCAGGGGCAUCCGGUGCAAAGAGUGGCAGCAAAUGCACAAUCCUCUAGCUGAAACCAUCGGACGUGCAUAGUGUGCGUGUGGUGCGCUCGGAGCGCUGGUCCCCGACCGACGCAUCUGAGCUGUUGUAUGUAUGUAUCAAUGUGUGUUCAUGUGUAUCCCGGUGUGUGAUGGCGAUCGGCCUACGACUGUAACCGUUCUCAAGGUAAACGAAUAAAAGUGCUCUCUGUCUUGCGGAAAAGGAAGAAAGUGUAGAAACAAGGCGUGGCGGAGCUUGAGACUUUAAUAACCAUCACGGACAGGUCGACAGAUUCCUCAUCAAAAAAAAAAAACACGGACAGGUCGACAGAUCCACCGUUAGAUAUGGCGAAGCGCACGGCCAUCGGGUCUCGGCAUUGUUUUUUUUGUUAGAAAUGGAGAAGGACCCUGGCCUUUGCAUCUGAACGAUGCAUGCAGCCACUUUAUUAAUUAUUAACACAAGAUUUUAUAAAGUCAUAUAACAGUAAGACUAAAAUCAUCAUCUAGUCAACAUCUGUUACUACUCAUAUCCAGUUGAUGAAGGGAUGCUGAUAGUCUGGGCCUAAUGCCAAACAGAUCUCACAGCCAAACCUAAGAGCAACUUCAAAGGGCCGACCCAUUUCGUCCGCCUGCGUCCGUUUGGGUCGGCGCGGACAAAAGUGGCGGCCCAACGCGCCGACCCAAACCCAAAUCACGUCCGCGUCGCGUCCACGCCGACGCAUUUGCGUCCCAAAUUUGCGCCCCAAAUGUGUCCGCCGCGUCCCCACAUGGUGGCCGUCCAACUACCCGCUGCCCACGCGGUCAGCUUAAUUUAUGACGAUGGGCCCACACGUCAGCGACGGCGCUCGCCCUUUUUUAAGCCGACCGUGCGGCGGGGUCGUCCUCAUCCAAACUCGCGCGUCCACAUCUGUCAUCCUUUGCUCCCUCGUCGCCGGCAAACCCUAGCCACCACAACCACAGCGAGAUGGGCCUCUUCUCCGGCGCCAGCGGCAGCAAGGCCAAGGGCAAGUCCCCCGCCACCCCUUUCCUCCCGCCUCCGCCGGCGUCGACGCCUCCGCCGGCGUCGACGCCUCGCCGGCAGAGGCAGCGCGUGGACGUGGCACCGCGGCGGGCGUAGGCCCUUACCCUCUCCGCGGCGGGCGACAGCGUGGUGCCGCCGGUGGCCCCGCCGUCCCCCAUCAAGCCGGAGCCGGAGCCCGAGCCGUCCCCCAUCGAGCGCUACUCUUGGACGGGAGUAGUGCGCGAGUGUGUACGCGCGCCGCCGGUCUGGAUGGGAGCGAUGCCGGCGCAGGAGCGGGCGUACCUCGAGCACUAGCACAAGAUUAGGGUGGCCAAGGAGCGUCGCGACGGUGAGUACCUCGAGAUGCUCGAGCGCGACCUCGAGGAGGAGCAGCGUGAGGCCGAGGAGGAGGCGCGCCAGGCCGCGGCUGCACAGGCGGCUUCACAACCCCCCGCGCCGGCACUGCCCGACAUGACGGCGCUCUGGAACACGGCGUUCGCCUGGGCCGGACCGGCGCCGACGCUCAUCGACCUCACGGACCCCGAGGACGAUGACGAGGACGCCUAGGGCAGCGCGCCGCCUCGUAGUUUAGGCUGUUUUUAUUUUUUUAAAUGCAAAUGUGGACGCGUGGACUCUCGCCGGCCUUCGUCACCGGCUUUAAUGUUUGAUUAAUGUUGUUUCUCUUUUUUAAUAUGCAUGCGUUCAAUUUUUUUGCGCCGUCAAAAAUGUGUCCAGGCCAACGUUGGGUGAUACGUCUCCGUCGUAUCUAUAAUUUUUGAUUGUUCCAUGCCAAUAUUCUACAACUUUCAUAUACUUUUGGCAACUUUUUAUACUAUUUUUGGGACUAACAUAUUGAUCCAGUGCCCAGUGUCAGUUCCUGUUUGUUGCAUGUUUUUUGUUUCGCAGAAUAUUCAUACCAAACGGAGUUCAAACGGGAUAAAAACUGAUGGAGAUUUUUUUUGGAAUAUAUAUGAUUUUUGGGAAGAAAAAUUCACGUGAGACGAUGCCCGAGGGGGCCACGAGGCAGGGGGGACGCGCCCUAAGGGGCAGGCGAGCCCCUGACCCUCGUGGCCACCCCGUAAGGCGGUUGGUACCCUUCUUUCGCCGCAAGAAAGCUAAUAUCCGGAUAGAGAUCGUGUUAAAUUUUUAGCCCAAUCAAAGUUACGGAUCUUCGGAAAUAUAAGAAACAGUAAAAGGGGAGAAUCUGAGAACGCAGAAACAGAGAGAGACAGAGAGACAGAUCCAAUCUCGGAGGGGCUCUCGCCCCUCCCACGCCAUGGAGGCCAUGAACCAGAGGGGAAACCCUUCUCCCAUCUAGGGAGGAGGUCAAGGAAGAAGAAGAAGGAGGGGGGCUCUCUCCCCCUCGCUUUCGGUGGCGCCGGAGUGUCACCGGGGGCCAUCAUCAUCACCGCAAUCUUCACCAACAACUUCACCGUCAUCAUCACCAACUCUUCCCCCCCCUCUAUGCAGCGGUGUAACCUCUCUCUUACCCGCUGUAAUCUCUACUUAAACAUGGUGCUCAACGCUAUAUAUUAUUUCCCAAUGAUGUAUGGCUAUCCUAUGAUGUUUGAGUAGAUCCGUUUUGUCCUAUGGGUCAUUUGAUGAUCAUGAUUGGUUUGAGUUGCAUGUUUUAUUAUUGGUGCUAUCCUAUGGUGCUCUCCAUGUCGCGCAAGCGUGAGGGAUUCCCACUGUAGGGUGUUGCAAUAUGUUUAUGAUUCGCUUAUAAUGGGUUGCGUGAGUGACUGAAACACAAACCCGAGUAAGGGGGGUUACUGCGUAUGGGAUAAAGAGGACUUGAUGCUUUAAUGCUAUGGUUGGGUUUUACCUUAAUGAUCUUUAGUAGUUGCGGAUGCUUGCUAGACUUCCAAUCAUAAGUGCAUAUGAUCCAAGUAGAGAAAGUAUAUUAGCUUAUGCCUCUCCCUCAUAUAAAAUUACAAUAAUGAUUACCGGUCUAGUUAUCGAUUGCCUAGGGACAAAUGACUUUCUCUUGACAACAAGCUCUCUACUAAAACUAAUUUAGUUGUGUCUUUACCUAAACAACCCCUACUUUUUAUUUACUUGCUCUUUAUUAUCUUGCAAACCUAUCCAACAACACCUACAAAGUACUUCUAGUUUCAUACUUGUUCUAGGUAAAGCGAACGUCAAGCAUGUGUAGAGUUGUAUCGGUGGUCGAUAGAACUUGAGGGAAUAUUUGUUCUGCCUUUAGCUCCUCGUUGGGUUCGACACUCUUACUUAUCAAAAACUGUUGCGAUCCCCUAUACUUGUGGGUUAUCAAGACCUUUUUCUGGCGCCGUUGCCGGGGAGUAAUAGCGUGGGGUGAAUAUUCUCGUGUGUGUUUGUUUGCUUUAUCACUAAGUAAUUUUUAUUUGUUGUUCUUAGUUGUUUUCUAUCUUCAUUUAUGGGUAGGAAACACAAAAUACCAAAAAAAAUCAGUUGUACCUACUAAACCAAUGGUUGAAGAACCACUCAAAAUCUAUCACACUGCUGAAACUUAUUACUUGCAUCAUCUUCGAUCCCUAUGUGCUCGUGCUGAAACCCCAACUAGCUUAGUUGAGGGCUAAUCUUUAGAUGAGCAUGCUUGUUAUGUGCGACACCAAAUAUCUGAAAAAGGGAAAAUUUUACUGGGUCAAAUUCAUCGUUUGCAAUGCUAUGCUUGGAAUUUAUGCGAAAUAUAUGAUAUUACUUGUUGUUCUGAAAACCCUAAGAAACACCUUCCCUAUCAAUGUGAGUUUAGUGAUAAUGGAAUCGUAUCUUCGUAUGCUAAGGGUGUUUAUAGUUAUUAUGAUGUCCAACAAAUUGAAGAAUCUGUUGCUUUUAAGGGUGCUCAUGAAAUUGCUUCUUUGAUUGAAACAUAUGAUGCUACUCUUUACAAAUUUGAAAAUUUGACAUACUUAAAUAUUGCUAUGAUAAUUAUGCUUCUAAUGCCUAUGUUAAACCAUAUAUCGAGGUCUCUUCCGCUGUCCAAGAAGAGACUAAUAUUUUGCAGGAGUCUAUGGAAGAAGAAAUUGAUGAAACUGUGAGCUCAUUGGAUGAAAAAGAUGAGGAAGAGCGGAUUGAUCACCCGUGUCCACCUUCUAAUGAGAGUAACUCUUCAACUCAUACAUUGUUUAAUUCCCUUCAUGCUUACCGAAGGAUGAAUGCUAUGAUCCCGUUGAUUCUUUUGAAAUAUCCCUUUUUAAUGAUGCUUGAUAUGCUUGUGGCCAAGAUGCCAAUAUGAAUUAUGCUUAUGGAGAUGAACUUGCUAUAGUUCCUAAUAUUAAACAUGAAAUUGUUCCUAUUUGCACCCAUGCAUGAUAGUCCUAUUAUCUUUUUGAAUUCUUCCGGCUACACUAUAUCGGAGAAGUUUGCCCUUAUUAAGGAUUACAUUGAUGGGUUACGUUUUACUACUACACAUGAUGAUUUUGAUAGAUAUAAUAUGCAUGUGCUUGCUGCUCCUACUUGCAAUUAUUAUGAGAGAGGAACUAUAUCUCCACCUCUCUAUGUUUCCCACAUGAUAAAAUUGCAAAAAAACUGUUUAUACUAUGCAUUGGCAUUACUAUGUGUGCAUGAAUUGUUCUUUUAUGACAUGCCGAUGCAUAGGAAGAGAGUUAGACUUCGUCAUUACAUUGUAUAUGUUACUUUGUGCUCACAACUAAAUUACAAAUCAUUGUUAAUUAAAAUGGCAUUGAUAUACCUUGGGAUCCGGGUGGAUCCAUUACUUGAGCACUAUAUGCCUAGCUUAAUGGCUUUAAAGAAAGCACUGACAGGGAGACAAUCCGGAAGUUUUAGAGAGUCAUUUAUUUCUGUUGAGUGCUUUUAUAUAGUUUAAAAACAAAAAAAAAAUAAA